UCCCCCCAAAUCCAUUAUCCCCAAAUUAAACUGCUUAACCUAUUUCCCUCCUCCCCCUCAUUCAUCAAAAUCGUUUUCUCUCCCGCAGGCCGUAAUCGAUUGCAUUGAUAACACUGAAUCGAUCUCAACGAAAGGCUUCUCCCUUUUGCACGUAGUUCCAGAUGAAGAUGUGAUACAGGCACCACCAGACAACCAUGCGGACGCUCCACCCUGGACCACCACCGAUACUGCUUGUUGAUGAGACGUAGGUUCAAAGAUGCCUGCCAAUUGUUCGAUGAAAGGCUUCAAAGAGCUUUAGUGCUAUAGUUACUUUAACAUUUAAAACAAAGCUUUGUGUUAAAGUGGAUCACGCAAGGAUUUCAAAUGGAUUUAACUGAGGAAACAAUUGUAAUACAACUUCAGCUUUUGUCUUAGAAAUGAAGCCAGUCCAUCAGGUGUUCUACUCAUUGUUUUUGAUCCUCGACCUGAUGCAUUAGAUCAGGUUGAAGUUGAGAAAAACUAGUUGCUGGAAAUGCGCAAAAGGAUUGAAGAUGAUCAUUAAAGAAAAAAACACCGAGCUUGAAACUAUGCGAAAAGAGUUUGCUAGCUAGCGACACAACUUGGAAGCUAUGAUGCGGAAGGCUAUGAAACAAGUAGUUGGAGAUCGAGAUGAGUAGAAUGUUUUCACUUUUUUUAUUAUUGUAAUUGACUAUAAAGUUUUAAGUUUCGACAAACAUGUUGAAGUACACACUUUGAUUAUCAGUGAUAUCUUUGUUAUUAUUGUUUUCGUGUAA